AUACCUUUCUCGGCCUUUUGGCUAAGAUCAAGUAUAGUAUCUGUUCUUAUCAGUUUAAUAUCUGAUAUGUGGACCAUUGGUCCACACGAUAUUAAAUUUAUUUUUUGAGGGGGAAGACCUGUAAAAGUAGCUUGCUACUUGGGUCUUCAAGUGUCGCCUUUGUGUUGCACUAUUGCAUUGGCAAGGUACACCCUAC